UGCCGUAGAGACGGCCACGGACUGUGGACUACGUUGGUUAGCCUGUGCGGACGAUUUGGCUGCUCCAGCUUGCUGGUAUUUACAAAUUGACAAAUUAAGGACUACAAUGAAUUCCAAGGACCUCCACGAAGGACAAAGCAAAUUUUUCCAGGAUCGGACUUUAAUUAAGCCAGAUAUUGCUAUUUUAAGUACAAAUAGGCUAAAAUUCUUAUUUAUGCUCGUUUUGUACACUUUUAAGAGAAAUAAUUAAGAAAAUAAGCAUAAAAAACAAUUUUAUAAAUUUAAACAAAAAUAAACGAAUUAUUUAAAGUGGAAA